CCGAGUUUACAACUCCCAAACCCCUGUGAACAUACCUUUAUGUUGCCUCGGCGGAUCAGCCCCGCGCCCCGUAAAAACGGGACGGCCCGCCGCAGGAAACCCUAAACUCUGUUUUUAGUGGAACUUCUGAGUAUAAAAAACAAAUAAAUCA
rnacentral:misc_RNA from 1 species